GACGAACGCUGGCGGCGUGCUUAACACAUGCAAGUCGAACGGAAAGGCCCUGCUUUUGUGGGGUGCUCGAGUGGCGAACGGGUGAGUAACACGUGAGUAACCUGCCCUUGACUUUGGGAUAACUUCAGGAAACUGGGGCUAAUACCGGAUAGGAGCUCCUGCUGCAUGGUGGGGGUUGGAAAGUUUCGGCGGUUGGGGAUGGACUCGCGGCUUAUCAGCUUGUUGGUGGGGUAGUGGCUUACCCAGGCUUUGACGGGUAGCCGGCCUGAGAGGGUGACCGGCCACAUUGGGACUGAGAUACGGACCAGACUCCUACGGGAGGCAGCAGUGGGGAAUAUUGCACAAUGGGCGGAAGCCUGAUGCAGCAACGCCGCGUGCGGGAUGACGGCCUUCGGGUUGUAAACCGCUUUCGCCUGUGACGAAGCGUGAGUGACGGUAAUGGGUAAAGAAGCACCGGCUAACUACGUG
rnacentral:rRNA from 1 species